AAGACCUUGCGCUUUUGGAGCGGCCGAUGCCUGAUUAGCUUGUUGGUAAGGUAAAAGCUUACCAAGGCUUCGAUCAGUAGCUGGUCUGAGAGGACGACCAGCCACACUGGGACUGAGACACGGCCCAGACUCCUACGGGAGGCAGCAGUGGGGAAUUUUGGACAAUGGGGGCAACCCUGAUCCAGCCAUGCCGCGUGAGUGAAGAAGGCCUUCGGGUUGUAAAGCUCUUUCAGCCGGAACGAAACGGUUACGGAUAACACCCGUGACUACUGACGGUACCGGAAGAAGAAGCACCGGCUAACUACGUGCCAGCAGCCGCGGUAAUACGUAGGGUGCGAGCGUUAAUCGGAAUUACUGGGCGUAAAGCGUGUGCAGGUGGUUUUGUAAGUCAGAUGUGAAAGCCCCGGGCUCAACCUGGGAACU
rnacentral:rRNA from 1 species